UUGUUCCCUUUGUCAACCCAUAUACUAAAAUUGGAAUAAUACAAAGAAAAUUAGCAUGACACCCUCAAAAGGAUGACACACAAAUUCAUGAAGGGUUUCAUUUACUU
ensembl:snRNA U6 U6 spliceosomal RNA